AGUUAAUGAACUUGAAUAAGUAUAUGUUUUGAAUACAUAAUAUAGAAAUAAUUUUUUCUAUUAACUU
rnacentral:tRNA from 1 species